AAGAGAAUGGUUGAAAAGAAUAACUUGAAAACUAAAGGCAUUGGCUUCCUGGUAUUUGCUUUUCUUUUUAAGAUCUCUAUGUCAUGGGCUUCAAAUCACUAGCAGGGAGACUGCUACAAUUUCAGCUGCAACAUUUGAUGUAUAAAUCCCUUAUCCCAUCUGUUCGCUUAAUCCAGGAUUCUGAAACACGUUCAGGGAACAGAAAAGGUUCCUGUCCUGCUGUCUGGGGGAGAGUUUUGGUAGCCUGCCCGGCCAACCCUAGCCCAGAGUAGUCCCAGGUGUGGGAACAAGGCUGCCCACCAUCGCAUUGGCAUCAACAUAACUGAUAGCUCUCAACAUGCUGCAUCAGCGAAAGCACACAGACAAAUGAGGCUGGCCAUGGAGUCACACCAGCCUCAGCAGGACCUGUACAGAUCAGCUGUGAUCACCAGGGUUGCACAACCUUCCACAAGUGAGAAGUGGACUCUGGACAGCGAGAUAUGCAUUACAAGAUAAAGCUGUCCUGCUAUGCCACAGCAGUUGAAGAGUCUGAGCAUGCCUCAGUGGCCCUACGCUCCCAGCACACAAAGCCAUCUGCAGCCACCAGUCAUUUGGAGCAGCCUCUCACAUGCUGGCUUUCCUACAGGGAGUUUCUCACAGCAGGAUCAGCCGCCCUUCCAGCACAUCACAGGUGUUCUCCACAUGGCGUGAGCAGCAUUUCUCUCCUCUGGUUCUGGGAGAGGAAAUUCUGCAAACCAAAUGUGAACUCAGGAAAGGGAGGUCCUAGCAAACUUGCUGUGCCAAAGGCAAACACAAAAGGCUCACCUCUGCAGUUGUGCCCGACUGAGCAGUGCCAGCAAAUAGGGGAGUGCGGUGCCAGACUCAUACAGAGUGGUACGGGGUCAAGGCAAGGCUUUUUGCUGGGAACAGGGUGUGUGCGGGCUGAAAAGCACUGAGGAGGAACUGAGGCCAUGGCUGAUCCUGGGGGGUGUCCAGAUCAGCUCUGCAGGCGAGGUUAGUGCCUUUGCUCCUCUGUCAUCACCAGUCCCUGAGAGCAAUCACCACCCACCAACAGUUCCUCAAGAUAAGACUGAGCCAGCUGGGAGAAGAAAUCCUUUGAUAUUUCCCUGCCUCGCUGACUGCGUUUUUCACAGCUCACAUCUCAGAGAGGACCAGCAGAGAUGACUGGGCACGUAAGAAUAACACUGGACUGGUAUGCAAGGAAGGUGCUAAUCUUCUGCCAUGUGUGUAGGGCCUGGGCAGAAUGAGGCAGAGCGCAGUGCUGGAGUCUCCCUGAUCCUCCCAUGGAUAUCAGCAGCUGCCACACCUGGAGUCUGCAGCAAAGCUCCUUCCUCCAGAGGCCAAGAGCUGAGCCUACUGUUUCCAGCAAGGAAUCUUACGAUCUAUUUAUUCUCAAGAUUAAAUUUCCCUGUCCAGAACAUGUAUCAAAAAAGUCCUCCCAAACACAGAACGUGCUCAGUGAUUUGUUUCCUGAUAUUCAUUGCUCCAUAGUCGCCAUCCCUGGAGAUGUUCAAGAGCUGUGUAGAGAGAAGCCUGCGCUUGCUGGGGGACUUGCUGGUGGGGCAGUGCUGUGUGGAAGGGCUGUGCUCACACCAUGAGAUGAGGCCAUCUAACAGACGAAGCAUGCAGGAUUUGCACUGACCGACGCCUGCACGGCUUCAGAGCUGUUUAUGGAUGUAAGGCUUGUCGUGGCUCUUCUCCCAGACACCUCGCUGCUGUCACAGCUCAGCGUUUGCCAUAUGUUUCAGCCCAGUGCUCGAAGCCUAAUAAAAAUGUCUAGCUGUAAAUCACCAGAGGUGUAGGCUGUGACCCUCUUUACUCCUACCUCUUCCACCACCUCUCAGCCACCCUUUUCCAGAUACUGGAAGCAGUAUAGCAAGAGUGCUUCUCCCAUCGGCCUCCUGCCAGAGCAGUGAUGCCAGAACACAGCUGUUUGCAAUUGCAUGGGGAAAGCUGUGCUGGGCUGAAAUGCAAAAUGAGGCCAAUGUGUCCCCACGGUCGCUUCUUCAGGAUACUUCUUUGUCCCACUUGGAGACAGAAGCUCCUGCUUAAGUAACCCUGGGGACUUGGAUCAGACAUCAUUAAAAGCAGUGGGGCAGCCAGCCCAUGGGGAGGCAGUGGCAAAUGCGGUGCGAAUGAUCAUGUCCUGCAUGGGACAGACCAGUGCCAAUUUUGAGAGCUAUUGAAGGAAGAAACUGCUCCAAGCAGAUUACCAAGGUGACAACGAGUGCAGCUGUGGAUUUACUCAGCUAAUCAGGAAACACUUCCUUGCUGCAGAGUGGGGAAACUGAACUGUGCUGCUGAACAGGUGAUGUGCAAUCCUCCACUGUCUGUCUGCAUCGCCACAAGCAGGGCUGUGCCCUGAGAUUGCAUUGCUCUUGCAUGCCUUGCACUGCUCUACCUGCCCCUGCUUCAGGGAGGGAAGGAGCAGAGCCUGCCA
ensembl:lncRNA